rnacentral:rRNA from 1 species
GAUGAACGCUGGCGGCGUGCUUAACACAUGCAAGUCGAACGGAAAGGCCGAAGCUUGCUUCGGUACUCGAGUGGCGAACGGGUGAGUAACACGUGGGUGAUCUGCCCUGUACUUCGGGAUAAGCUUGGGAAACUGGGUCUAAUACCGGAUAUGACGAUCUCUUGGAUGGGGUUGUGGAAAGCUUUUGCGGUAUGGGAUGGGCUCGCGGCCUAUCAGCUUGUUGGUGGGGUAAUGGCCUACCAAGGCGUCGACGGGUAGCCGGCCUGAGAGGGUGUACGGCCACAUUGGGACUGAGAUACGGCCCAGACUCCUACGGGAGGCAGCAGUGGGGAAUAUUGCACAAUGGGCGCAAGCCUGAUGCAGCGACGCCGCGUGGGGGAUGACGGCCUUCGGGUUGUAAACUCCUUUCGCAAUCGACGAAGCCUUUUGGUGACGGUAGGUUGAGAAGAAGCACCGGCUAACUACGUG